GGGGGCGCACUGGUUUCGACGGGAGUGGAGUAGUCUUGAGUAGCGUGUCGGGAAUUAUGUAACCCGUAAAACAUAAACAAUUAAACACAAACGCUAAAAACAAUAAAUUAGCAUUCGCAGCCUAACAAAAGUUUAGGCGGCCAUCCGCCCGUCUCUUUCCUGUAGAGAUGGUACCGGGUGUCAUAAUAAACAGGAUACCUUUUAGCAAACGCCAGUAUGCAUAAAGGGAAAUUCACUGGAUCGCCCGCGGGUUAUUUAGUUUCCGGAAGAUCCCAAAGGUUAAAUAAAAAUCGGAAAAUACACACGUAGAAGCUCCUGAACACUUGCUUGCGGACGGUGGGUUCGAUUCCCCCCGCCUCCACCA
rnacentral:tmRNA from 1 species